CCCCAGCGCCACGAGUGGCAACCACUAUUAUUGGGCCUAAAGCGUCCGUAGCCGGUUUGACAAGUCUUUUGUGAAAUCGUUGUGCUUAACAUAACGGUGUGCAAAAGAUACUAUUAAACUUGGAACUGGAGAAGAGUUAGAGGUACUCCAAGGGGAGCGGUAAAAUGCUAUAAUCCUUGGAAGACCACCUGUGGCGAAAGCGUCUAACUGGAACAGCUUCGACGGUGAGGGACGAAAGCUAGGGGAGCAAAUGGGAUUAGAUACCCCCGUA
rnacentral:rRNA from 1 species